UGGGGAAUAUUGGACAAUGGGCGCAAGCCUGAUCCAGCAAUGCCGCGUGUGUGAAGAAGGCCUUCGGGUUGUAAAGCACUUUAGGAUGGAAAGAAAAACUUUAGUUAAUAGCUGAAGUCUUGACGGUACCAUCAGAAUAAGCACCGGCUAACUCUGUGCCAGCAGCCGCGGUAAUACAGAGGGUGCGAGCGUUAAUCGGAUUUACUGGGCGUAAAGCGUGUGUAGGUGGUGGCGUAAGUCGAUUGUGAAAUCCCCGGGCUCAACCUGGGAACUGCUUUCGAUACUGCGUCACUAGAGUACGGUAGAGGGUGGUGGAAUUUCCGGUGUAGCGGUGAAAUGCGUAGAUAUCG
rnacentral:rRNA from 1 species